GGAGAGAUGCCCGAGUGGCCGAAGGGAGCGGUUUGCUAAAUCGUGGAACUGAAAGGUUCCGAGGGUUCGAAUCCCUCUCUCUCCG
rnacentral:tRNA from 1 species